UUUGCCUCAGGGGAGAGGGCGUGGUGGGAGGGCUGCUGGGCUGGCAGAGUACCAGGGGGAAUUCCCAGGAACUCCUCUGGCAUCUCUGAGACCCAGCAGGGCAGAGGGUGGGCGGGGCUGCAUGGCGCAGCAGGGGCUCCCAGACCUGAGCUGUGGAGGUGGGGCCCUGUCUGCCCCCUCACUUUGGAAACCUAGCAGGGUUUGUUUGCUUGUUUUUUGUUGUUGUUGUUGUUGUUGUGUGUGUGUUUUUUUUUUUUUAAAGAAAUUUGCUGUUUUCCAGGUAGCUUCAUAGAAAGCCAGGGUCUCUUUCCUCUAUAGUUAGGUUGUUUACACUGCAAAAGCCUAAUCCUCUUGCUAGGUUGAUAUUGUGUCUCGUGGGCUCCUUAAUGAAAAGUAUUUGUCCAGGAUUAUUCCUUCACAGCAAAUGAGAGCCUCCAAGACAGCUCCACUCUGAGAACCGGCCUUGUGGCUGGGGCACGAGCACCAGGGGCUCCAAAGAGGGGGUCAGGCUCGAGACACUUGUGUACGUGUGCUACUCCUGGCCUGAGCACCCCAGGCUGGCUCCGAAAUCUAGGAGACGGGGUCUUGCUGUGUUGUCCAGGCUGGACUUGAACUCCUGAGCUCAAAUGAUCCUCCUGCCUCAGCCUCCCCAAGUGCUGGGAUUACAGGCAUGAGCCACUGUACCAGGUCAAGUUGUGUUGUUUUAAGCCAUCCAGUUGGUGAUUAUUUGUUACAGCAGCCACAGGAGACCCACGCGGCCAGAGUCCCUCUCCUGCCCUGCCCCCAAUGCCAGUCAGCCACUAGGCUGGGAGGGUCCUGCCCUGGGAGAGUCCGGCAUGAACACAGGGACCAGGUGCAGCAACUGGACUCCAGACAGGAAGCACUCUGUCCUGAGAGCUGCCCACACCCAGAUUAGGGUUUGGAUCCCCAAGAAACCCCCAUCCAAUCUCUUCCCCGCCUCCUUUGGCCCCCAGCAGACCUGCUUCUCACUCACGUUCCCUUUCUGCCCCUGCUCCAGCUUUUUUCUAGACCGCCUGCCUCCAGCAGAACGAAUCAAGAAGAUUACAGGGCAGGCGGGUGUGAGAGCAGCUCCUGGGGCGAAACUAGAGGAAAAUCCCCUGGCCCUGUUUCCCCAAACUUCCCUUUGAUUUUUAAUUUUUUUCAAAAGUUUCUUCAUCACAAAAUUUCCGGAUGUGACAUCCCUGGCAGCUCACACAGCAAGUUUUGGCAAAAACCAAUGUCUUACUUCUCACUGGGCUGCAAGAAAUUAGAGUAAUCGCCCCCAACACACAAAGGCAUGAACUCCCGAUGCAAUUAAGGAGAGCGAUCUCCGUGGAAACAGCCCAGAUGACCAUCAGUGGACGAAUAGAUACACAACUGUGGUCCAUCCACACAACAGAAUAUCAUCCAGUCACAGAAAGGGAGGAAGCGCUGAUCCAUGCUACAACAUGGGUGAACCCCAAAAACAUGAUAAGAGACGCCGGAUACAAAAGGCCACGGAGCAUGUGAUUUUACCUCCACAAAAUGCCUAGAAGAGGCAAAAUCUGCAGAGACAGAAAGCAGAGGAGCCGGGGGGAGGAGAUGAGUGUUCGGGAGAGGGGAGUGAGCAGUGACCGAUCACAGGUUCAGGCUUUCCUUUGGGGCGAUGACAAUUUAGGAAGUCGAGAGAGGUGUUUACACAACCUUGUGAAGAUAUUAAAUGCCACUGAACUGUGUGCUUUAAAGU